rnacentral:misc_RNA from 1 species
UUAAUUCAAUUUAUCAAGACUCGGAAUUCACAGUUAAACAGAUUUUAGAAAUCCUCUGGCGGACGCUCUCCAGCCUAGGCCGGCGGUGAGACCACCGGUCCGCCAAAGCAACAUUCAAAGUCAACAUAGGGUGGGAGUAGGAACCCGAAAGCUCCGGUACUCGGUAAUGAUCCUUCCGCAGGUUCACCUACGGAAA